CUCUAGGCACAUUUUCCAAUGACAGCUCUGGGAGUCUGCAAGCAUGUGGUCUCAAUACAGACAAGAAUUCCUGCUUUCUGAGAUGCCUGUCUCUUGGACGAGUAGACAAACAGCUCUAAAGAUGAGGUCUAGGGCCUGCUGGGAGGCUUCUUGCACUAUCCCCUCCCUACCUUGCAAGGACCUCAAAUUGAUGGGUUCUUGGUGUUGUGAUACCUGGGCCCUUCCACUUGAGUCCCUGGGCCCCUUUGGAGACCUGGCAUGCACUUGAAAGAGAGCUGCCUGCCUCUCAGAGUCCUUAGAAAUCAUGCUUGUGCCUCAACAACUACCGUGGUUCUGAGAACUAAAAGUUGCCCUCAACUUGACUCCAAGUUGAACAACAUGGACAAAGCUCUGGGGAAAGAAAAAAGCUCCUCUGGCCCCAUCAGUCAUCUACUUUCCUGCCAGAGGCAGGUAGCACCAUCUGCAAAGACUAGACAGCAUCAAAUAAGCCACCAAAUGGUUGGCUAAGAUCAUGUGAGUAAGCAGAAGCUAAGAGGAGCCACCCCUGGCCACACAAAGACUGUAACCUUGGGUUUCUAACUACCAAUAAAAAGAAAUAACAGUACUGGGGAAGACAUAAGAUUAAUUGAAGGGAAAUGAAAUGCUCUAGUUCAUUCUGCUGUAAUAAAAACUGUUCAAAAGCAACUUAAGGGAGAGGAGGGUGUAUUGGGCUUACUAUUCUUGUCACAGUCCAUGAGAGAAGUCUAAGCCACCCUACUUGCUGUUUCACAGCAUUAUCUCCAAGCAAGGGAUCACUUCACCUCCAAAGGAGUAGAGACAUGAAAGACGCCUCUUGUUGGCUGCCUCAGAGGGAUGGUGCCACCUGCAGCCACCUGGGCCUUCCUACAUCAGUUAGCACAGCAGGCUGCCACACACCUGCCCACUGGCCAGUCUGAUCUAGGUAGUUCCUUCUCUGUGGAAGCUUUCCUCUCAGAUGAUGCUACGCCAUAUCAAGUUGACAGUUAAAGCCAACAGGAACAUAAAUAAUACGUCAGACUCUUCAUGCUAUGUAAUAUUGUAAUAUGUAAUAUUGGAAUAAAAUACUAUUUAUAUCUCAGUUACCCUU
rnacentral:lncRNA from 1 species